rnacentral:rRNA from 1 species
UACGGGGGGAGCAAGCGUUGUUCGGAUUUACUGGGCGUAAAGGGCGCGUAGGCGGCCACCGCAAGUCGACUGUGAAAUCUCCGGGCUUAACCCGGAAAGGUCAGCCGAUACUGCGGGGCUAGAGUGCAGAAGGGGCAACUGGAAUUCUCGGUGUAGCGGUGAAAUGCGUAGAUAUCGAGAGGAACACCUGCGGCGAAGGCGGGUUGCUGGGCUGACACUGACGCUGAUGCGCGAAAGCGUGGGGAGCGAAACAGG